CCCUGGAAGACUACCAGGUUGAUAGGUCAGAGGUGUAAGUACAGUAAUGUAUUAAGCUGACUGAUACUAAUAGGUCGAGGGCUUGAUCAA
rnacentral:ncRNA from 1 species